rnacentral:rRNA from 1 species
UACGUAGGGACCAAGCGUUGUUCGGAUUUACUGGGCGUAAAGGGCGCGUAGGCGGCAAUUCAAGUCAUCUGUGAAAUCUCCGGGCUUAACUCGGAACGGUCAGAUGAUACUGCUUUGCUCGAGUGCGGAAGGGGCAAUCGGAAUUCUUGGUGUAGCGGUGAAAUGCGUAGAUAUCAAGAGGAACACCUGAGGUUAAGACGGGUUGCUGGGCCGACACUGACGCUGAAGCGCGAAAGCCAGGGGAGCAAACGGG